rnacentral:piRNA from 4 species
UCACUACUGCACUUGACUAGUCUU